ACAUAGGGAUAAGAGAGAUGCCAGUCCUCAUCCAAGGCAAUGCCCAAUUGCUGCCAUGAUGCUCCUUUAUCAGUACUUUUUGCAACUCCAAUAUCUCCUUGCAUGGUGAUUGAAUUCUUAGUUUCAUAAAACAGGUAAAGAGUAUCUCCCUGAACAUAAAGAAAAGGAUCAGCAACGAAAUUACUGGGGAAACCAGCAUCUGAGACUGAGGCACAGGUGACAACUGGGUUAGCCACUGGCCAGGCUGCACUCUCAUUUUUCCAAACAUCCAUAGUUUCAAUUGGCUUCAAAGAGAAGGGAGAGUCACCAUAGAAAAGACCAAUAGACCAUGAACCCUCA
rnacentral:misc_RNA from 1 species